rnacentral:rRNA from 1 species
AGUGAACGCUGGCGGUAGGCCUAACACAUGCAAGUCGAACGGCAGCACAGUAAGAGCUUGCUCUUACGGGUGGCGAGUGGCGGACGGGUGAGGAAUACAUCGGAAUCUACUUUUUCGUGGGGGAUCACGUAGGGAAACUUACGCUAAUACCGCAUACGACCUACGGGUGAAAGCAGGGGAUCUUCGGACCUUGCGCGAUUGAAUGAGCCGAUGUCGGAUUAGCUAGUUGGCGGGGUAAAGGCCCACCAAGGCGACGAUCCGUAGCUGGUCUGAGAGGAUGAUCAGCCACACUGGAACUGAGACACGGUCCAGACUCCUACGGGAGGCAGCAGUGGGGAAUAUUGGACAAUGGGCGCAAGCCUGAUCCAGCCAUACCGCGUGGGUAAAGAAGGCCUUCGGGUUGUAAAGCCCUUUUGUUGGGAAAGAAAAGCAGCAGGUUAAUACCCCGCUGUUCUGACGGUACCCAAAGAAUAAGCACCGGCUAACUUCGUG